UCUUUGAAGUGUACUUGAACAUGUGAGUAGUUGUUGGAUUUAUCCAAAACCAAAGCAUACACGAUGAAGAAUAAA
ncrna:unclassified sequences RAGATH-18 RNA